rnacentral:rRNA from 1 species
AGUGAACGCUGGCGGCAGGCCUAACACAUGCAAGUCGAACGGCAGCACAGUAAGAGCUUGCUCUUACGGGUGGCGAGUGGCGGACGGGUGAGGAAUACAUCGGAAUCUACUUUUUCGUGGGGGAUAACGUAGGGAAACUUACGCUAAUACCGCAUAUGACCUACGGGUGAAAGCAGGGGAUCUUCGGACCUUGUGCGAUUGAACUAGCCGCUGUCGUAUUUGCUAGUUGGCGGGGUAAAGGCCCACCAAGGCGACGAUCCGUAGCUGGUCUGGGAGGAUGGUCGGCCACACUGGAACUGGGACACGGUCCAGACGCCUACGGGAGGCAGCAGUGGGGAAUAUUGGACAAUGGGCGCAAGCCUGAUCCAGCCAUACCGCGUGGGUGAAGAAGGCCUUCGGGUUGUAAAGCCCUUUUGUUGGGAAAGAAAAGCAGCAGGUUAAUACCCCGCUGUUCUGACGGUACCCAAAGAAUAAGCACCGGCUAACUUCGUG